rnacentral:rRNA from 1 species
UACGUAGGGGGCUAGCGUUGCUCGGAAUCACUGGGCGUAAAGGGUGCGUAGGCGGGUCUUUAAGUCAGGGGUGAAAUCCUGGAGCUCAACUCCAGAACUGCCUUUGAUACUGAGGAUCUUGAGUACGGGAGAGGUGAGUGGAACUGCGAGUGUAGAGGUGAAAUUCGUAGAUAUUCGCAAGAACACCAGUGGCGAAGGCGGCUCACUGGCCCGAUACUGACGCUGAGGUGCGAAAGCGUGGGGAGCAAACAGG